GAUGAACGCUGGCGGCGUGCCUAAUACAUGCAAGUCGAGCGAACGGACGAGAAGCUUGCUUCUCUGAUGUUAGCGGCGGACGGGUGAGUAACACGUGGAUAACCUACCUAUAAGACUGGGAUAACUUCGGGAAACCGGAGCUAAUACCGGAUAAUAUUUUGAACCGCAUGGUUCAAAAGUGAAAGACGGUCUUGCUGUCACUUAUAGCUGGAUCCGCGCUGCAUUAGCUAGUUGGUAAGGUAACGGCUUACCAAGGCAACGAUGCAUAGCCGACCUGAGAGGGUGAUCGGCCACACUGGAACUGAGACACGGUCCAGACUCCUACGGGAGGCAGCAGUAGGGAAUCGUCCGCAAUGGGCGAAAGCCUGACGGAGCAACGCCGCGUGAGUGAUGAAGGUCUUCGGAGCGUAAAACUCUGUUAUUAGGGAAGAACAGAUGUGUAAGUAACUGUGCACAUCUUGACGGUACCUAAUCAGAAAGCCACGGCUAACUACGUG
rnacentral:rRNA from 1 species